rnacentral:rRNA from 1 species
UACAUGGGGUGCAAACGUUGCUCGGAAUUAUUGGGCGUAAAGCGCGCGUAGGCGGUUACUUAAGUCGGAUGUGAAAGCCCUCGGCUUAACUGAGGAAGUGCACCCGAAACUGAGUAGCUAGAGUACGAAAGAGGGUCGCGGAAUUCCCGGUGUAGAGGUGAAAUUCGUAGAUAUCGGGAGGAACACCGGUGGCGAAGGCGGCGACCUGGGUAGAUACUGACGCUGAGGUGCGAAAGCGUGGGGAGCAAACAGG